UCCCUGGCAGUCCAGUGGUCAGGACUCUGAGCUUUCAGUGCUGGGGCCUGGGUUCAAUCCCUGGUCAGGGAA
rfam:Ovis aries breed Texel chromosome 14, whole genome shotgun sequence.